UUUUCCGGUAGGCAAGGCUACCACAUGGAUACGGAUUGCUGCCGCGAAGCAGUGGAGACACUGCAAGCCGGUCAACAGGCUAUGUCGAAACCAAGGCAUAAUCUAAUGCAAUUUCAUCGCCAUGCGAAGCUGAAGCUUGAACGGUGGC
rnacentral:sRNA from 1 species